rnacentral:rRNA from 1 species
UACGUAGGGUGCAAGCGUUAAUCGGAAUUACUGGGCGUAAAGCGUGCGCAGGCGGUUAUGCAAGACAGAUGUGAAAUCCCCGGCUUAACCUGGGAACCGCAUUUGUGACUGCAUAGCUGGAGUACGGCAGAGGGGGAUGGAAUUCCGCGUGUAGCAGUGAAAUGCGUAGAUAUGCGGAGGAACACCGAUGGCGAAGGCAGUCCCCUGGGCCUGUACUGACGCUCAUGCACGAAAGCGUGGGGAGCGAAACAACGG